rnacentral:rRNA from 1 species
AUCUAUGUUGAGUACUAAGCUUGCUUAGAUAUGAGACAUGGUGGACUGGUGAGUAACGUGUAAAGAACUUGCCUCUUAGACUGGGAUAACCAUUGGAAACGAUGGAUAAUACUAGAUAUUAUUAGACAUAGGCAUCUAAGUUUAAUGAAAGAGAGAUCACUAAGAGAGAGCUUUGCAUCCUAUUAGCUAGUUGGUGGGGUAAAGGCCUACCAAGGCGAUGAUAGGUAGCCGGCCCGAGAGGGUGAACGGCCACAAGGGGACUGAGAUACGGCCCUUACUCCUACGGGAGGCAGCAGUGGGGAAUAUUGGACAAUGGAGGCAACUCUGAUCCAGCAAUUCUGUGUGCACGAAGACGGUUUUCGGAUUGUAAAGUGCUUUCAGUAGGGAAGAAGAAAGUGACGGUACCUACAGAAGAAGCGACGGCUAAAUACGUGCCAGCAGCCGCGGUAAUACGUAUGUCGCAAGCGUUAUCCGGAAUUAUUGGGCUUAAAGGGCAUCUAGGCGGUCUAACAAGUUGAAGGUGAAAAGCUGUGGCUCAACCAUAGUCUUGCCUACAAAACUGUAAGACUAGAGUACUGGAAAGGUGGGUGGAACUACACGAGUAGAGGUGAAAUUCGUAGAUAUGUGUAGGAAUGCCGAUGAUGAAGAUAACUCACUGGACAGAAACUGACGCUGAAGUGCGAAAGCUAGGGGAGCAAACAGGAUUAGAUACCCUGGUAGUCCUAGCUGUAAACGAUGAUCACUGGGUGUGGGGGUGCGAAACCUCUGUGCCGAAGCAAAAGCGAUAAGUGAUCCGCCUGGGGAGUACGUACGCAAGUAUGAAACUCA